GCGGUAUGAUCAGCGAUUUAAUAAAUUGCGCGUGCGCAAAAAAAGGUGGAUCUUGAUUGCUUUUCACGUCAGUGUUUUCCAGAAUCGUUGACGUGACUAGUACUAUUCUCGCUCCUUCUGUUCCGCUGGACUUCACUUCCCUGGCUUAUCAUACCGA
rnacentral:rRNA from 1 species